GCUCUAGUAAAAGGCUUGGGCUUGAAUCCCUGCAUCAUCAUCUACUAGCUUUGUGGCCUUAGGCUAAUAACUCAUUUGAUGAGCAAAAAUGGGAUGAAACUGUCUGCCUUUUAGGAUGGCUAUGAUGUGAGCUCAGAUUAUGUGCAGUGGUUGCCUAAAACUUGGUGGGUCCAGUGGAGAUGGAGCCAUGUCAUCCUGUUUGUUACCUUCAGGGUGUCCCGCAGCACAGUGUGGUGCUCGCACCUGUCUGCGUUCACCGUGAGUCAUCGCUGCACCUGCAUCUUGUGGCCUUUAUGCGAUAGUGAUCAUAAUGCUGAACGGUCACCAGGUCACGGAAUUCCACCGGGAAUGGGAAGAGCCUCUGGAGCAGCACGCAAAGUCCUGCUAUCUGCAUUCUGUGGUUGGAGUGAGUUGGCACCAUCGUGGCUCACUGGUUCCACACUCCUUGACUCGGUAUUCAGCUCCAAUUUUCGUUCUGUUUAA
ensembl:lncRNA